UUUUUACGGGAGGCAGCAGUGGGGAAUCUUCCGCAAUGGACGAAAGUCUGACGGAGCAACGCCGCGUGGGUGAUGACGGCCUGGUUGUAAGCUCUGUUGUAAGGGAAGAACGGUAGAUAGAGAAUAUCUAAGUGACGGUACCUUACCAGAAAGCCACGGCUAACUACGUGCCAGCAGCCGCGGUAAUAAAA
rnacentral:rRNA from 1 species